AGUUUUGAUUACUAUAAAUGGCAGCUAAAGCGCUUGGGAAAGCACAUCUUCAAGAUGAUGUCUUUCAUGAUAAUUCUUGGGAUGGUGGCUGCAACUGCAGUUGCCAUGCCCACAAAUGUGCCUGAUUGUUCUGGUGAGGGCAGGUUCCCCAACCCAAAUACGUGUGGUGGAUUCUACGACUGCAUACAAGAUGACAAUGGGGGCUAUGAAUUAUCUUUUGAUGACUGUAAUGGAUUCGUCUUCAACACUACCUCCAGGACGUGCAGCAGUGAGAUGUGUCUUUCAAGGAGUGAGCGGAGUGUGACUAAUGCAUAUCCCAGGUACUCUUACUUGUGUGAAGGUCAGCCUGAUGACUUUGUGUGCGCCGACUGCAGAACCAUGGUCAUGUGUGUGAAAGGUCAGGCCUUUGCCCGCCAGUGCAUCAGUGGGAGGUCUUGUAGUAUCAAGGCAGCCUUUGGGGGUGCAGUGUGCUACCCAGGUCAUCCUGCUGCAUGCACCUGCCAGAGCGCGGACUCGUUUGUCCGCGAUCUGUAUGACCCACAGAAGUUCUUCAGCUGCUCUGGCAUCGGAGUACUCCCCGAGAUCCACGUUUGCCCUGAUGGCAUGGUGUUUGACGAGACCCUUGUGCAGUGUCGCAACCAAGCCAGUCUUCCAGCUUGCAGACGGCCUGGUGUCUUUGCAAACCUUGAUGACUGCUCUGAAUAUUACUCGUGCAUCUCGCUUCAAUCUGGGUGGCUGCAGAGGCUGUUCAUGUGCCCAAAUGGAACCUUGUUCAACGAGGCAACGGGAGCUUGUGAAGAUCCUUGCAAGCGGACAAUGGUGUGCUAUGAGGAAGGCAGGUUCCCAGAUCCCCUCGACCGCCGUAGCUACUACGAAUGCCUGAUUAUUGGUGGGCUGAUGAAGCGUGCCCGUACCAGUGCCCCCAUGGUUAUGUGUGGAAGGCUAACGACUCUGGUGAUGGAGGAGCGUGUGUGGAGGACCACGAGAUGAAUCUGUAUGACUACUUCACCCGCUGUAGCAUUCCACAGGGGAUGUGUCCUGAUGAGACUACAGAUCCCUGUCUGGCAAACAACGGCGGCUGCAAUGCCAAUGCAGACUGCUUAACAAUUAAUGGAGGUGUGAGUUGCACUUGCAGAGCAGGGUACAGUGGUGAUGGAUAUACAUGUAUAGAUGUUGAUGAAUGUGCUGUGGCCAACGGCGGAUGUUCUGCAAGUGCCACGUGUACAAACUCUGAUGGCAGUUUCCAGUGCAGUUGCUUAGCAGGAUACACUGGUGACGGCUUCACCUGCAUUGAUGUUGACGAGUGCUUGGUUGCCAAUGGUGGAUGUGGUGCAAAUGCUUUUGUAGCAAUACUCCAGGCAGCCGUGACUGCACCUGUAAAUCAGGUUCACUGGGGAUGGCCUAGUUUGCACAGACGUUGACGAGUGUCUGGUGGCUAAUGGUGGAUGCCAUGCUAAUGCGGACUGUAAAAAAUGAUGUUGGUGGCAGAACUUGCACUGUCAUCCUGGUUACACUGGUGAUGGACUUCAAUGUACUGAGGUGGACGAAUGUCUGGUUGCCAACGGUGUUGCGACGCAAAUGCCCGUUGCAGCAAUACUCCAGGCAGCCGUGACUGCACCUGUAAAUCAGGAUUCACUGGGGAUGGCAUAGUUUGCACAGAUGUGGAUGAGUGUUUGGUAGCUAAUGGUGGGUGCCAUGCUAAAGCUAAGUGUACAAACACUGCUGGCAGCAGAACUUGUUCUUGCCUUGCUGGUUAUACAGGUGAUGGAAAAGUGUGCCAGCCCCUCAAGGUAAGUAUUUAUGAUAGUUGGGAUUUAGGUGUUAAUUCAUAACCAACUAAUAGUAACUUUAAUUCCUGAAUAAUAACAUGUCUUUCUCCACUUCCAGUGCCCUGUUGGUUUGCUGGUGAAGGUGCAGAGUGUGCUCCGGACUCUGACCUUGAUGGCUACCCAGACACUGAACUGAGCUGUUCAAGCAAGUACUGCCGUAAGGAUAACUGCGUCAAUAGGCCCAACUCCGGACAAGAGGAUGCCGAUGGUGAUAAGAUUGGCGAUGCUUGUGAUAAUGAUGCUGAUGGAGAUGGACAUGACAAUAAUAAGGAUAACUGUCCCCUGAUAGCCAACCCUGGCCAAAGCGACAAGGAUAAGGAUAAACGUGGAAAUAAAUGUGACAACUGCCCUGAUGACUCCAACCCCAACCAAAGCGAUAUUGAUGGGGACGGAAAAGGCGACAAAUGCGACAACGAUAUUGAUAAUGAUGGAUUGCUAAAUGGUGCAGACAAUUGUCCUAAGGUAGCUAAUGGCAACCAAGCUGACAGUGAUGGAGAUGGUAUUGGAGAUGCUUGCGACAACUGCCCUCAGCACGCCAACCAAGGGCAAAGUGAUAAGGAUGAAGAUCUCCUAGGGAAUGCCUGUGAUGAUGACGUGGACACUGACAGUGAUGGUGUGGAGGACAGUGUGGACAACUGUCCAAAUGUGGCCAAUAGUGACCAGCAAGAGACGUAGAUGGUGAUGGUAAAGGUGAUGCAUGUGAUACAGACAAUGACAAUGAUGGUGUACUUGACAAGAAUGACAACUGCGAACUAAUCCCAAAUAAGCAGCAGAAGGAUACCGACGGGGAUGGUUUUGGUGACGCCUGCAGUGAUGACAAGGAUGGUGACAAGGUCUUAGAUCCGGAUGACAACUGCAUUUAUAACCCUAAUGUGCACAGCACCGACUUCAGACAUCUGCAAAUGGUGGCACUAGACCCGCAAACGGCAUCUACUCCUCCGGUAUGGGUCGUCUAUGACAACGGUGCAGAAAUUCAUCAGACCGUGAACUCUGACCCAGCUAUAGCAGUGGGUGACCACGUUCUGGGCGAUGUCGACUUUGAGGGGACCUUCUUCAUUGAAGACACGAGUGAUGACGAUUUUGUUGGCUUUAUAUUCGGUUACCAAAGCAAUGCCAAGUUCUAUGUUGUGAGUUGGAAAAAAGCACCACAAAACUGGUUCAACAAGGCCGAGAGAGGCGUUACUCUGAAGCUAGUAAACUCUAACACGGGCCCUGGCACGAAACUUAGGGAUGCCUUGUGGUUCACUGGGUCUACACCAAACCAGGCACAAUUGCUCUGGCAUGAUGGCAGCCUUGGAUGGAAACCCAAGGUUGCCUACCGCUGGCUGCUUCACCACCGGCCUGAUAUUGGAACCAUAAGGUUCUACUUGUACCAGGGAAAUAACCAGGUCAUGGACUCUGGAAACAUUUAUGACAGCACCCUGAAAGGAGGCAGACUGGGACUCUUCUGCUUCUCCCAGGAAGAAAUUAUAUGGUCCAACAUGGAGUAUAAAUGUGGAGAGGGUGUACCCCAGGCGAUGUUCAAUGACUUGCCUGCAAACCUACAGAAUCAGGUUCUGAGCUCUUAAAUUAAUUUCGAGUAAACGGACUAGAUGGUCUUGCACACGGAUCGACACGUCUUGAAGAUCACUUCUUAUUGAGAGACCCUAGUCUUGUAUUUUUAUAUUAAAUAAUUUUAAAUUAAA